GUUAAUAAUUAAUUUAUGCAAUCAACUUCUCUUCUGCACUCACUUGUUUCUGUUAUUGUGAUUUUAUGUAAUUCUCAAUGUUCUUCUGCUCUGUGCUCUGCAUUUGUGUAGUCUCUAAUGAUUCUUCUGUGAAGUUUUUAAUGUUCUUUCACUUCAUACUCUGUGUUUGUAUAGUUUCUAAUGAUUUUUCUGUGUAGCUUUUAAUAUUCUUCUGCUCUGUGCUUCACUGUGGAGCAGCUUCUGAUAUUCUUUCACUCUGAUCUUCUCUCUAUAAGAAUUUUUUUUGUAUAAUCUUUUCUUCUGAUCUCUUUUCUCUUUCUUUUCUUAAUCAAUUUGUAAUUUGUAUUUAGAAUAAUGCUAGUGUAAUAGACGCAACGGAAAUAUCUAUAUUAGAAAAUAGCUAUAUAGUGAUAGAAAGGUAUAGAAUAUGAUGAAUG
rnacentral:sRNA from 1 species